rnacentral:rRNA from 1 species
GGUUAAGCGACUAAGCGUACACGGUGGAUGCCCUGGCAGUCAGAGGCGAUGAAGGACGUGCUAAUCUGCGAUAAGCGUCGGUAAGGUGAUAUGAACCGUUAUAACCGGCGAUUUCCGAAUGGGGAAACCCAGUGUGUUUCGACACACUAUCAUUAACUGAAUCCAUAGGUUAAUGAGGCGAACCGGGGGAACUGAAACAUCUAAGUACCCCGAGGAAAAGAAAUCAACCGAGAUUCCCCCAGUAGCGGCGAGCGAACGGGGAGCAGCCCAGAGCCUGAAUCAGUGUGUGUGUUAGUGGAAGCGUCUGGAAAGGCGCGCGAUACAGGGUGACAGCCCCGUACACAAAAAUGCACAUGCUGUGAGCUCGAUGAGUAGGGCGGGACACGUGGUAUCCUGUCUGAAUAUGGGGGGACCAUCCUCCAAGGCUAAAUACUCCUGACUGACCGAUAGUGAACCAGUACCGUGAGGGAAAGGCGAAAAGAACCCCGGCGAGGGGAGUGAAAAAGAACCUGAAACCGUGUACGUACAAGCAGUGGGAGCACGCUUAGGCGUGUGACUGCGUACCUUUUGUAUAAUGGGUCAGCGACUUAUAUUCUGUAGCAAGGUUAACCGAAUAGGGGAGCCGAAGGGAAACCGAGUCUUAACUGGGCGUUAAGUUGCAGGGUAUAGACCCGAAACCCGGUGAUCUAGCCAUGGGCAGGUUGAAGGUUGGGUAACACUAACUGGAGGACCGAACCGACUAAUGUUGAAAAAUUAGCGGAUGACUUGUGGCUGGGGGUGAAAGGCCAAUCAAACCGGGAGAUAGCUGGUUCUCCCCGAAAGCUAUUUAGGUAGCGCCUCGUGAAUUCAUCUCCGGGGGUAGAGCACUGUUUCGGCAAGGGGGUCAUCCCGACUUACCAACCCGAUGCAAACUGCGAAUACCGGAGAAUGUUAUCACGGGAGACACACGGCGGGUGCUAACGUCCGUCGUGAAGAGGGAAACAACCCAGACCGCCAGCUAAGGUCCCAAAGUCAUGGUUAAGUGGGAAACGAUGUGGGAAGGCCCAGACAGCCAGGAUGUUGGCUUAGAAGCAGCCAUCAUUUAAAGAAAGCGUAAUAGCUCACUGGUCGAGUCGGCCUGCGCGGAAGAUGUAACGGGGCUAAACCAUGCACCGAAGCUGCGGCAGCGACGCUUAUGCGUUGUUGGGUAGGGGAGCGUUCUGUAAGCCUGUGAAGGUGUGCUGUGAGGCAUGCUGGAGGUAUCAGAAGUGCGAAUGCUGACAUAAGUAACGAUAAAGCGGGUGAAAAGCCCGCUCGCCGGAAGACCAAGGGUUCCUGUCCAACGUUAAUCGGGGCAGGGUGAGUCGACCCCUAAGGCGAGGCCGAAAGGCGUAGUCGAUGGGAAACAGGUUAAUAUUCCUGUACUUGGUGUUACUGCGAAGGGGGGACGGAGAAGGCUAUGUUGGCCGGGCGACGGUUGUCCCGGUUUAAGCGUGUAGGCUGGUUUUCCAGGCAAAUCCGGAAAAUCAAGGCUGAGGCGUGAUGACGAGGCACUACGGUGCUGAAGCAACAAAUGCCCUGCUUCCAGGAAAAGCCUCUAAGCAUCAGGUAACAUCAAAUCGUACCCCAAACCGACACAGGUGGUCAGGUAGAGAAUACCAAGGCGCUUGAGAGAACUCGGGUGAAGGAACUAGGCAAAAUGGUGCCGUAACUUCGGGAGAAGGCACGCUGAUAUGUAGGUGAAGCGACUUGCUCGUGGAGCUGAAAUCAGUCGAAGAUACCAGCUGGCUGCAACUGUUUAUUAAAAACACAGCACUGUGCAAACACGAAAGUGGACGUAUACGGUGUGACGCCUGCCCGGUGCCGGAAGGUUAAUUGAUGGGGUCAGCGCAAGCGAAGCUCUUGAUCGAAGCCCCGGUAAACGGCGGCCGUAACUAUAACGGUCCUAAGGUAGCGAAAUUCCUUGUCGGGUAAGUUCCGACCUGCACGAAUGGCGUAAUGAUGGCCAGGCUGUCUCCACCCGAGACUCAGUGAAAUUGAACUCGCUGUGAAGAUGCAGUGUACCCGCGGCAAGACGGAAAGACCCCGUGAACCUUUACUAUAGCUUGACACUGAACAUUGAGCCUUGAUGUGUAGGAUAGGUGGGAGGCUUUGAAGUGUGGACGCCAGUCUGCAUGGAGCCGACCUUGAAAUACCACCCUUUAAUGUUUGAUGUUCUAACGUUGACCCGUAAUCCGGGUUGCGGACAGUGUCUGGUGGGUAGUUUGACUGGGGCGGUCUCCUCCUAAAGAGUAACGGAGGAGCACGAAGGUUGGCUAAUCCUGGUCGGACAUCAGGAGGUUAGUGCAAUGGCAUAAGCCAGCUUGACUGCGAGCGUGACGGCGCGAGCAGGUGCGAAAGCAGGUCAUAGUGAUCCGGUGGUUCUGAAUGGAAGGGCCAUCGCUCAACGGAUAAAAGGUACUCCGGGGAUAACAGGCUGAUACCGCCCAAGAGUUCAUAUCGACGGCGGUGUUUGGCACCUCGAUGUCGGCUCAUCACAUCCUGGGGCUGAAGUAGGUCCCAAGGGUAUGGCUGUUCGCCAUUUAAAGUGGUACGCGAGCUGGGUUUAGAACGUCGUGAGACAGUUCGGUCCCUAUCUGCCGUGGGCGCUGGAGAACUGAGGGGGGCUGCUCCUAGUACGAGAGGACCGGAGUGGACGCAUCACUGGUGUUCGGGUUGUCAUGCCAAUGGCACUGCCCGGUAGCUAAAUGCGGAAGAGAUAAGUGCUGAAAGCAUCUAAGCACGAAACUUGCCCCGAGAUGAGUUCUCCCUGACCCUUUAAGGGUCCUGAAGGAACGUUGAAGACGACGACGUUGAUAGGCCGGGUGUGUAAGCGCAGCGAUGCGUUGAGCUAACCGGUACUAAUGAACCGUGAGGCUUAACCUU